rnacentral:misc_RNA from 1 species
GAAUGAGUUCCUGAGAGAUUGUGAAGAAGACGAUGAUUCAAAUAUUAAUAGCCCCAAUCCAAAAACGGGAGGUAUAACUAGUAAACAAUCCGCGUUCCUGCACUGCAGGAACGCGGACACAAGUGGUGUAUGACUAUUGUCAGCUCGUGCCGUAAGAUAUCGGGUGCAUUGAUUUCAUUGAACCACUAUUGAAUGAACAGAACCAACGAAGAUCGUCUAUUGGUAGCUUGAACAACGCCCUUAGGAUAACCAUAAUAAGACUGAAUGGGAUCCCUAUGAUCAACAUGUUCUGAAUUAAACAAGGUUGAUUUCUUCUAUGUCGAUCUCUAUUAGAGGUAUCAUUGAAUUAAUAGUCUAGUGAUUGAACCUAAUAAUUGAAUAUUUCUCUAUGAUGAGACCGGAAUUGCAUUUAAAAAAUAGCUGAGGUGUAGUCGCAAAAUUUGAAGGUAGGGACAAAUGGAUUGGCAGAUUAAGAAAGCUAGGCUUGAAACUCGACGAUCUUCACCACGGAUGAGUCCCCAAUCUUUUGGAAGACAACUAUUUGGUCGUUGGGCUUAAGCAAUCCCACAGAUUUACCAUGAUUAAGGGCAAGUUUCAAUCCAGACUCUUCACUGGAAGCACCUGAAGUUGCCACAUUAGGGCUUGCAAGAAUAGGGUAAAUUCCUCUAACACCAAGCAAGUGACGAGCCUGUGCAGAACCAGUGAAAGUCCAUUUCAAGGAAUUCGAUCUGAGACGAGGAAUGACAACAGCAAAAACAGGCACUGGUGGCCUAUACUUAGCAAUCAACCUAAAAAGUAUGAACUUGCAAGAAUCAGCUGGUAAUUUAAUUGGCAUUCUUAAAUAGUUAGCACCUAUUAGAAGACUACAAGAGCUGUAUAAGAAUAUAGAAAUUUGAAGCACCUUGCUGCUCUCCCAGAGGAUGUGAACACAACAAUUAGUGCAGCCUUGACCUUAAUAGCAGCACGUACCUUUGAUAAAAACAUAAACAGUGUCAUCAUGAACUACUCAUGCAUUUUGAUGAGCCUAUUUGGGAUUAAGGUUCGUUCUUGCUUAUCAGAAAAGCACCACCCUUUUAGAUGUUUUGGAGAUUUUAUUAGUAAAACAUGUUAAGUUUGAUUGAAAAACAAAUUUUAUUGGCAUCUAAUUGACUCAUUCAAGGUGGUGUUUUUUCAGUAGUUCAAACACGGGUUCGAAACAAACUUCCCAAAGAAUAGUAAUAAAAAGAUACCGCUGAUGAAGCAACAGAUUCGGCAUGAGACAUAGGCUCUCCAACAUGUUUGCUGAUUCUCUUAAAAUGAACAGAAUGAUUGCGCACUGUUUCAGCCUCAGCACAAAUUCUCCCCACAAUUUUUAUUGUCUCAAUGGGAUAUAGUCCUCUAAGUGUCUCAGCACCCAAUAAUAUACCAUCAGCACCAUCAAGAACAGCAUUGGCAACAUCAGUUGCUUCUGCACGAGUUGGUCUUAGAUUUCCAGUCAUGCUAUCAACUACUCGAGUAAUUAUGACUGGUUUCCCUGCCAUGUUACACUUAUAUACAGCAGACUUUUGAAACAAGAAAACCUUUUCUGGGGGAAGGUCAAUUCCUAAAUUUCCACGACCAAGGAUAAUACCAUCUGCUUCCUGAAGGAUCUCACAAAAAUGUUUCAAGCCCUCAACAGUUUCUAUUUUGGCGAAUACUUGAGUCUCAUGGAGAUUAUUUGUUCUAAGAAAAGUUCUAAGCUCUCGCACAUCUUCUACAUUGCGAGUGUAUGAUAGAGAUAUGAAAUCAACAUUGUUACGUGAACCCCACUCCGAAAUAACCUUUUUAUCCUUAUCACUUAAAUUUGGCAAACUUUCAUACACUUGAGAAACAUGCAUUAAUAUAAAGCCCGCAAGAGUGGCAGUGUUUUUUAUGAGACACAUGACAUCUUGGCCAUUUGUCUCUAAAACCUCAAGCCAUACUGAGGUGUUUUCACUUCCUGUGAAGAGAUACUGACCAAGAAAAACAGUGUCGCCCUUCUUCAGAAUCUUGGAGAGUCCAGAAUAAUCUACGGGUAAAAACUCUGCUGAUGGUUCUCUAGAAACAUCUGAAGUAAUAGUUAUAUGGUCAUCAGCCUUCAGCUCAAUUGGUUUCCCAUUCUGGUUACAAAUUGGAAUUUCUGGGCCUACAGUAUCCAGCAUAACAGCACAUAGUUUCUUAGCAUUUUUCAUAGCUAGCCUCAAAUUGCGGAGUGUUUCUUGGUGGUAGUCACUAUCUAACCAUGAAAAGUCGAACCGUGCAACUGGCAAGAUAGGAAGGGGCAAGAAAUGAACAUAGCUCUGAGAAAUUUAAAGGGGAAAAAGGCAAAUUAAAGAAUGCAAAUAUACAAGAAUCACCUGACAUUCCUGCAUUAAGACACGCCUCAAUGGUUUCAAUGGACCGCGAAUUUGGUCCAAGUGUUCCAACUAAUUUGGUUAGCGAAGGCAAAUGGCUCUGCAGGUUUCAAGAUAAAAACAAGAAUUUUUAUUUGUCUACAAACAAAUAGCUUUGCUUCUACUAUUUUAAUAAUGAUAAUGCUAAAGAAUAAAAAUCAAGGCUGUAGCUUAUCACUUUUGAAUAUGUACCCAAUAAAAAUACUCCGAACAAGCUGUAACCUUAUCUAAAGUAUAGCAUAUGGAGAGUGAUUUUCAGAGUUCUACAAAGUUAGAACAUAUUAAUAGCGUACUGAAUGUUUAACUAGCACAGGAUUUUAAAAGAAGUAAGAGUAUAAGAAGUUAUUUCUCCUAAGGAUGAUGAAGAUCCAGAUCUUGAUGGAUACUAAUCCUCUCUUCAAGAAGCAUGGAACUUGCUGAUGAGAAAUUUAAUUUAGGAUCCCUUCUUUCUUUCAAGCCUUGAAAAUUCUAAAAGUGAAUUUUAUCCUGUUGUCUCUUGUUUCAAAGGCGAAAAGUCCAAUUUAUGAGUGAGUUUUCAUCUUAUUUGCAGAGAUCAUACUAUUCAUCAAUGUUUGCUAACACUAUAGUUAAUAUAUUGCAGGGUUGCAUGCCUUUUUUCUGUC